AUACGGAGGAUGCGAGCGUUAUCCGGAUUUAUUGGGUUUAAAGGGAGCGUAGGUGGGAUAUUAAGUCAGUUGUGAAAGUUUGGGGCUCAACCUUAAAAUUGCAGUUGAUACUGGUUUCCUUGAGUACGGUACAGGUGGGCGGAAUUCGUGGAGUAGCGGUGAAAUGCUUAGAUAUCACGAAGAACUCCGAUCGCGAAGGCAGCUCACCGGGCCGGAACUGACACUGAUGCUCGAAAGUGCGGGUAUCAAACAGGAUUAGAUACCCUGGUAGUCCGCACAGUAAACGAUGAAUACUCGCUGUUUGCGAUACACUGUAAGCGGCCAAGCGAAAGCGUUAAGUAUUCCACCUGGGGAGUACGCCGGCAACGGUGAAACUCAAAGGAAUUGACGGGG
rnacentral:rRNA from 1 species